AGUGAACGCUGGCGGCGUGCUUAACACAUGCAAGUCGAUCGGACUUUAAGGGCUUGCUCUUAAAGUUAGUGGCGCACGGGUGAGUAACACGUAAUUAAUCUGCCCCAUAGUAAGGGACAACAGUUGGAAACUAUUGCUAAUACCUUAUAUUCCGUCUUGGCCUAAGUCAACACGGGAAAGUUUUUCGGUAUGGUAUGAGACUGAGGGAUAUCAGAUAGGUGGUGAGGUAAUGGAUAACAAAGGCUAAGAAGGAUAGCUGGUUUGAGAGGAUGAUCAGCCAAACUGGAACAGAGACACGAUACAGACUACUGCGGGAGGCAGCAGUGGGGAAUUUUACAAAAUGGGAGAAAGUCUGAUGUAGCAACGCCGCGUGGAGGAUGACGGAUUUCGGUUUGUAAACUACUUUUAAAAGAGAAGAAAUUUGACGGUACCUUAUGAAUAAGCACCGGCUAACUCCGUGCCAGCAGCCGCAGUAA
rnacentral:rRNA from 1 species